rnacentral:pre_miRNA from 1 species
UUUCUACUCCCUCCGUCCGAAAAUACUUGUCAUCAAAAUAGAUAAAAAGAGAUGUAUCUAAAACUAAAAUACGUCUAGAUACAUUUCCUUUUAUCCAUUUUUAUGACAAGUAUUUCCGGACGGAGGGAGUAUUUU